rnacentral:lncRNA from 1 species
GCAUGCACCCUUGGAUAUUGAGAUCCAAACAAAAUAUCUACCGCAGAAAAUUUAAAGAAAUAUUGACGGCCUUGAAUAAUUCAUACAUCUUGUGAGUGCACCAUUACUAUUAGGGGCCCACAUUGAUUCACGGUGUUUCCCUAUGAGUCUUUUUCGUCUCUGUUUUUACUUUUAGGUGUAUCUUGUAUUACAUACCUGUUUUUGAGGAAUCCUUAGUUACUACCUAUGAUUUAAGGGAAGUAAUUACCUUUAUUUUAACAUUUAUUGCUGCACCUGGGUGGUCUAUUGGUGUAUAUUAUAUCUGCGCUACAGACUUCCACCUCAGGUAAGACCCUCAUACUGAGGUCCUCCGGAGGCUUUUCUCUAGAGUUACCAAUAGCGAAUCUUAUUAUACGGACAUAUGAGAAUUAUGACAUACAACAUGAAGGGGCUAAAUUCCCCUGUACCCGGUCUACUUUGUCCAGGAUCUCAGGAAACACCAUACACGCGGCAGAACUCACAAAAUAUUAAACGCAAUAUCAUGCUCUCUCGGUUAACAAAUCCAAAGGUGUCUCUAUUUGCACUAGUAAGGAAAUAAAUUUUACCGUUCAAAGACAUUAUAUUGACCCACAAGGCAGAUAUAUAUAUAUAUCAUCUUACUGUAUAUUAUUGGUGAUAUUUUAUCACCAAUAAUAUACAGUAUACCCUGGUUUCUGAUAAGUCUGAAUGAUCUCUCCGCUCAAUUUUAAACAUAAUUGACGACUAUAAGCAGGGAGGCCUCAACCUUUGCGGGGAUUUAAAAUGUAUCCAAUCUGUUACCCAAGAUACCUCAGCCACCCUCAGAGGUCAUAGGAAAAAAACUUUUGGCUACUCAAUGCAAAGAAUUGUCCAAUUUACUCUCCUCCUAUGAUCUGUAUGAUAGUUGGAGAACACUAUACUGGGGAUCAAUACUAUACGUUCUAUUCCAGAGUCCACAAUACAUAUGCACUCCUGGAUCAUACUGCCUUGGCACAGCUGUCUGAUCGUAAGAUAGUGCUUAUCUCUUGGUCAGAUCAUAGCCCAAUAUUCCUUGAUCUAUUUGAUUCCAAUACAAAGGUAGGGGAACCUUGUGACUAAACAAAUCUCUAUUAGCAGACACUACAUUUACAUCCACCAUAGACAGGGAACUCAAAGAUUACUUUACCUGCAAUUCUGAGGGAACCACCUGUCAUAGUUUGGGCUGCUCAUAAGGCAGUAAUAUGAGGACUGUUCAAAAGACACUCUUCUCAAAUUAAGCGACAACACCAAGCCACUCUUUUAGACGGUUAUAAACAGAUAGCUUUACUCUCCAACCAAACUAAACAACAACCCUCAGAUCGUUUAGCUGUUCAGUUUCGGACCUUGUACGCACAACUAACUUAAAUUAACACGGCCAAAACAACUCAAUUCUUACACAAACUCUGGGUGACCUUGUACCAUAACAUCUGUAAAGCAACAAAAUUUCUUGCCUCUAGACUCCAAAGUAAACUGCAGGUGUCCAAGAUAGCUUGUAUUACUGAUUAUAGUGGAAGGAAAAUCAUAAGUCCCCAACACAUUAGUCACCAAUUUGCAAAUUUCUGCUCAAAGCUAUAUAACCUCUUGGCUGACGGUGAAACACAUAACCCAACUGACCAGGACAUCCAAGCUUAUCUCUCCAAAAUGAAUCUCCCGCUACUUGACCCUGCCCAGUUUGCAGUACUGCUCCAAUCAACUACACAUCUAAGCUCCUUGAUUUAAUCCAGAGGCUCCCUCCAGGUAAAUCCCCAGGGGAGAUGGUCUUCCCAAUUCCUAUUAUAAGAAAUUUGCAGAAAUUCCAGCUCCACACCUUCUAAAAGUCUUUUACCAAGCCACAAUCACGGUGUCACUGCCGUUGUAAACGUUAC